CAUUUGCAACAGAAUUAUGGUUUCUGUUGGAAAGCAAUCCUUCAGAAUUAAAAGGGAAUUCGGUGCUUGAUUGUAUUUUUAGAUCAAUAGUCCGAAACUGUCCCCGCAACUGUAAGUCCAUUUUUAGAUUGAAAUGCACUAUCCUUGCCACUGUUAGCCUACCGGCUGAUGGGAAGGCCGCAACUUCAACGGACGAGUCAGGAGACCUGCCAUAGCUCAUAAUUAUUU
rnacentral:ncRNA from 2 species